rnacentral:rRNA from 1 species
UACGGAGGGUGCGAGCGUUGUCCGGAAUCAUUGGGCGUAAAGGGCGCGUAGGUGGCCCGGUCAGUUCGUGGUGAAAGCGCGGGGCUCAACCCUGCGUCGGCCAUGAAUACUGCCGCGGCUGGAGCACUGUAGAGGCAGGCGGAAUUCCGGGUGUAGCGGUGGAAUGCGUAGAGAUCCGGAAGAACACCGGUGGCGAAGGCGGCCUGCUGGGCAGUUGCUGACACUGAGGCACGAAAGCGUGGGGAGCAAACAGG